rnacentral:rRNA from 1 species
GAUGAACGCUGGCGGCGUGCCUAAUACAUGCAAGUCGAGCGAACAGACGAGGAGCUUGCUCCUCUGACGUUAGCGGCGGACGGGUGAGUAACACGUGGAUAACCUACCUAUAAGACUGGGAUAACUUCGGGAAACCGGAGCUAAUACCGGAUAAUAUAUUGAACCGCAUGGUUCAAUAGUGAAAGACGGUUUUGCUGUCACUUAUAGAUGGAUCCGCGCCGCAUUAGCUAGUUGGUAAGGUAACGGUUUACCAAGGCGACGAUGCGUAGCCGACCUGAGAGGGUGAUCGGCCACACUGGAACUGAGACACGGUCCAGACUCCUACGGGAGGCAGCAGUAGGGAAUCUUCCGCAAUGGGCGAAAGCCUGACGGAGCAACGCCGCGUGAGUGAUGAAGGUCUUCGGAUCGUAAAACUCUGUUAUUAGGGAAGAACUAAUGUGUAAGUAACUAUGCACGUCUUGACGGUACCUAAUCAGAAAGCCACGGCUAACUACGUG